rnacentral:rRNA from 1 species
UAGGGAAUCUUCGGCAAUGGACGAAAGUCUGACCGAGCAACGCCGCGUGAGUGAAGAAGGUUUUCGGAUCGUAAAACUCUGUUGGUAGAGAAGAACGUUGGUGAGAGUGGAAAGCUCAUCAAGUGACGGUAACUACCCAGAAAGGGACGGCUAACUACGAGCCAC